GGACAACCGUCCGAAAGGAUGGCUAAUACCGCAUAAGACCUGAGGGUGAAAGCCGGGGACCGCAAGGCCCGGCGCAGACGGAGCGGCCGAUGAUUGAUUAGCUAGUUGGGGAGGUAAAGGCUCACCAAGGCGACGAUCAAUAGCUGGUCUGAGAGGACGACCAGCCACACUGGAACUGAGACACGGUCCAGACUCCUACGGGAGGCAGCAGUGGGGAAUUUUGGACAAUGGGGGCAACCCUGAUCCAGCCAUGCCGCGUGCGGGAAGAAGGCCUUCGGGUUGUAAACCGCUUUUGUCAGGGACGAAAAGCUCCGGAGUAAUAUGCCGGAGUGCUGACGGUACCUGAAGAAUAAGCACCGGCUAACUACGUGCCAGCAGCCGCGGUAAUACGUAGGGUGCAAGCGUUAAUCGGAAUUACUGGGCGUAAAGCGUGCGCAGGUGGUUGGGUAAGACAGAUGUGAAAUCCCCGGGCUUAACCUGGGAACUGCAUUUGUGACUGUCCGACUGGAGUACGUCAGAGGGGGGUGGAAUUCCACGUGUAGCAGUGAAAUGCGUAGAUAUGUGGAAGAACACCGAUGGCGAAGGCAGCCCCCUGGGACGCAACUGACGCUCAUGCACGAAAGCGUGGGGAGCAAACAGGAUUAGAUACCCUGGUAGUCCACGCCCUAAACGAUGUCUGCUGGUUGUUGGGAAUUUAAUUCUCAGUAACGAAG
rnacentral:rRNA from 1 species